UUGAUCUCACCUAUCAGGAUCCUCCUCGAUCUCAGAAUAAACAAGCCUUGGUUGCAGCUAGUAAUAGCGGCUGGGAGAAUGACUGGCAUGCGGACACAGGUGCCACUCACCAUAUCACACAUGAUAUGGCCAAUCUGAACCUACAAAGUGAUGACUAUGAUGGUACAGACCAACUUCAGGUUGGCAAUGGUCAAGGAUUACUCGGCGAACGUCCUUCAUCACGGCCAAGUCAGUAAUGGUUUAUACCAUUUUUCCAAAACCAACGUUCAUCCUCAAGCCCUUUCAAGUAUUCGUGUUUGCUUUGAUCAGUGGCAUUGUCGACUUGGCCAUGUUGCUCCUCAAGUUGUUCAACGUGUUAUGUCCUUCCAUAAGCUUCCAGUUGAUAAAAUAAAGAGGCACGUUGUGUGCUCCGAUUGCCAAUUAGCCAAGAGCCAUGCUUUACCAUUUAGCAAUUCUACUUAUAUUUCUCAUGCUCCCUUAGACCUAAUUUUUACAGAUGUAUGGGGUCCGGCUUCUGUAGCCUCAACUACAGGUGCUCAGUACUAUGUUAGCUUUCUAGAUAAUUUUUCAAAAUAUUUAUGGUUCUUUCCAAUUAAAUUAAAGUCUGAUGUUGAGGGUGUUUUUCUUCAA